AUUGAACGCUGGCGGCAUGCCUUACACAUGCAAGUCGAACGGCAGCACGGGUGCUUGCACCUGGUGGCGAGUGGCGAACGGGUGAGUAAUACAUCGGAACGUACCUUAUCGUGGGGGAUAACGCAGCGAAAGUUGCGCUAAUACCGCAUACGCCCUGAGGGGGAAAGCGGGGGACCGUAAGGCCUCGCGCGAUUAGAGCGGCCGCUGUCGGAUUAGCUUGUUGGUGAGGUAAAAGCUCACCAAGGCGAUGAUCAGUAGCUGGUCUGAGAGGACGAUCAGCCACACGGGGACGAGGACACGGCCCAGAAUCCAACGGGAGGCAGCAGGGGGGAAUUUUGGAGAAUGGGGGCAACCCUGAUCCAGCAAGGCCGCGUGAGUGAAGAAGGCCUUCGGGUUGUAAAGCUCUUUUGUCAGGGAAGAAACAGCAGCUCUAACACAGUCUGCGAAUGACGGUACCUGAAGAAUAAGCACCGGCUAACUACGUGCCAGCCGCCGCAGUAA
rnacentral:rRNA from 1 species